rnacentral:tRNA from 2 species
GGGCCCGUAGCUCAGCUGGGAGAGCGUCGCCUUUGCAAGGCGGAAGUCCCGGGUUCAAGUCCCGGCGGGUCCA